GACGAACUGUCCUACCGUUGUUCGGAAUCACUGGGCUUAAAGGGCGCGUAGGCGGUCGACCAAGUCAGGGGUGAAAUCCUGCAGCUUAACUGUAGAAGUGCCUUUGAUACUGGUCGUCUCGAGGGAGGUAGGGGUGUGCGGAACUUCCAGUGGAGCGGUGAAAUGCGUUGAUAUUGGAAGGAACGCCGGAGGCGAAAGCGACGCACUGGACCUCUUCUGACGCUGAGGCGCGAAAGCUAGGGGAGCAAACGGG
rnacentral:rRNA from 1 species